rnacentral:misc_RNA from 1 species
UGUUAUUCCAUGCUAAUGUAU